CCUACGGGAGGCAGCAGUGGGGAAUAUUGCACAAUGGGGGAAACCCUGAUGCAGCGACGCCGCGUGAGUGAAGAAGUAAUUCGUUAUGUAAAGCUCUAUCAGCAGGGAAGAAAAUGACGGUACCUGAGUAAUAAGCCCCGGCUAACUACGUGCCAGCAGCCGCGGUAAUACGUAGGGGGCAAGCGUUAUCCGGAUUUACUGGGUGUAAAGGGAGCGUAGACGGCAGUGCAAGUCAGAAGUGAAAGCCCGGGGCUCAACUCCGGGACUGCUUUUGAAACUGUUGAACUAGAGUGCAGGAGAGGUAAGUGGAAUUCCUAGUGUAGCGGUGAAAUGCGUAGAUAUUAGGAGGAACACCAGUGGCGAAGGCGGCUUACUGGACUGUAAAUGACGCUGAGGCUCGAAAGCGUGGGGAGCAAACAGGAUUAGAUACCCUUGUAGUC
rnacentral:rRNA from 1 species